GUGGAUGGUUACCAUCCAAUAUUCUUUCAAAGACACUGGGAUGAAAUUGGAUGUGCUUAACUUUGUGAUUGAAUUCUUUAGGAUCUGUGUUGUCAAGCAGGAGAUUAACAAAAACUUGAUCAAUUCAACCUUAUUCCAGAAGUGGACAGUGGCGGAGCCACGUAGUAACAAGGGGUAGCACGUGCUACCCCUGCUUUUUUUUUAAAAAAAAAAAAAAAAAAUUCAAAAAAUCGGAAAAAAUCGCAAAAAAAUAAGGAGCGCGUUUCAUUUGGAAAUUUCACUCUCUCAACUCCUCAAACUCAGUCUCUCUCUCUCUCAAAUCUCAAACUCUCAACUCCCAUUCUCGGUGUUGACGUGCUGUGUCGUCGGAAAAUUGAGUCUCGCCAGUCGCCAGUCGUCGGAGUAGUCAAUCUUGGUCGUCGUCUCGUCGGAGAAAAUGUUGGCUCUCUAGAAAUAGUUUUCUCACUUAAAUUGGUCGGCGACGGCGAGAGUGACGGCGACAGUAGCGACAUAGUUGCACUUCGGCGGUUCGGCGUUCCGAGAUCCGGCGUUCAGCCACUGCAUUCAGAAGCAUGAAGAGAAAAUAAGGGAGGGAUAUUUCAAGCUUUUUUUUCCAAAGGAACACCUAAUGAAAAUCAAGUUGAAAUUGGGAAUUUAGUAAUUACGAACUUUUUUUUUUUGAGUUUCUAGUAAUGUAAAGUUGUGCUACCCCUGGUUU